AGAUUUUAGUUAUCUACUUGGAUAACGGUGGUAAUUCUAGAGCUAAUACAUGCACAAAAGCUCGGACCUUACGGAAAGAGCGCAUUUAUUAGAACAAAACCAAUCGGUCGCACGUUUCGGCGUCGGCCGGCAAAUUGGUGACUCUGAAUAACUAAGUUGAUCGCACAGUCUUAGAACUGGCGACGUAUCUUUCAAAUAUCUGCCUUAUCAACUUUCGAUGGUAGGUUAUACGCCUACCAUGGUUAUAACGGGUAACGGAGAAUAAGGGUUCGACUCCGGAGAGGGAGCCUGAGAAAUGGCUACCACAUCCAAGGAAGGCAGCAGGCGCGCAAAUUACCCAAUCCCAGUACGGGGAGGUAGUGACGAAAAAUAACGAGAUAGUCCACUAUGUGGCCUGUCAUCGGAAUGGGUACAAUUUAAAUCUUUUAACGAGGAUCUAUUAGAGGGCAAGUCUGGUGCCAGCAGCCGCGGUAAUUCCAGCUCUAAUAGCGUAUAUUAAAGUUGUUGUGGUUAAAACGCCCGUAGUUGAUUUUUCGACUUUGGAGCGCGGUAUCUCGAAAGAGUUUUAACUGCGUCUGCCAAGUCUGAUCUUCUUGUUUUCUAUGGAUGCUCUUUAUUGAGUGUCUUUAGUGACUUGAACGUUUACUUUGAAAAAAUUAGAGUGCUUAAAGCAAGCUUCAUCGCUUGAAUAAAGUGCAUGGGAUAAUGGAAUAGGACUUUAGUCUUAUUUUGUUGGUUUUAGAGAUUAAAGUAAUGAUUAAGAGGAAUAGACGGGGGCAUUUGUAUUGUUGCGUUAGAGGUGAAAUUCUUGGAUCGCAGCAAGACAAACAACUGCGAAAGCAUUUGCCAAGAAUGUUUUCAUUAAUCAAGGACGAAAGUUAGAGGUUCGAAGGCGAUCAGAUACCGCCCUAGUUCUAACCGUAAACGAUGCCAACUGGCCAUUCGCCGGUGUUAAUAAAUGACUCGGCGGGCAGCUUCCGGGAAACCAAAGUUUUCUGGUUCCGGGGGAAGUAUGGUUGCAAAGCUUAAACUUAAAGGAAUUGACGGAAGGGCACCACCAGGAGUGGAGCCUGCGGCUUAAUUGACUCAACACGGA
rnacentral:rRNA from 1 species